rnacentral:rRNA from 1 species
UACGUAGGGCGCAAGCGUUGUCCGGAAUUAUUGGGCGUAAAGAGCUCGUAGGCGGUUUGUCGCGUCUGCUGUGAAAACCUAAGGCUCAACCUUGGGCUUGCAGUGGGUACGGGCAGACUAGAGUGCGGUAGGGGUGACUGGAAUUCCUGGUGUAGCGGUGGAAUGCGCAGAUAUCAGGAGGAACACCGAUGGCGAAGGCAGGUCACUGGGCCGCAACUGACGCUGCGGAGCGAAAGCAUGGGGAGCGAACAGG